GGAGGUAUAGCUCAGUGGUAGAGCAGGUGCUUAGUUUAGCCUACAUGAGGUCCUGGGUUCAAUUCCCAGUUACCUCCA
rnacentral:tRNA from 1 species